CUUUUCCUCUGCACAGGUUUUGAGGACUCUCCCCCAUUAUGUUUUUCAUACUAGUAUGACUUGUACAUUCCUUCUGAUCAUUUUUCAAGAUGAUACCUGAAGGAAAAGUUCAAGGAAGCAUCAAGUGACAGUGUACAAUGAUCUUCAUAAUUUGGAGAAGAUGUGGUCUCUUUGGCUGUCCACUUAUAACCAGGUGCACCUAUGUAACCCGUUCACAGUAACCUGCCAUUCUGUAGAAGAAAACCUAUUUCUUGAUGGUUCAGAUCACUUGAAAGAAUGAACAGAAAGUUUGUGGUUUGCACAAUAACCUCUCAUGUUUCCUUUUGCUUCAGUAUUACUAUGGAAGGUAUUCUCAUGCUUGGAACACUGAAGGCAGCUCAUUUCAGCACCUGAUAUCAUUCUGUGACUGUCUAAUAAACUUAAUUUGCUUUCUG